GAUGAACGCUGGCGGCGUGCUUAACACAUGCAAGUCGAACGGAAAGGCCCAAGCUUGCUUGGGUACUCGAGUGGCGAACGGGUGAGUAACACGUGGGUGAUCUGCCCUGCACUUCGGGAUAAGCCUGGGAAACUGGGUCUAAUACCGGAUAGGACGAUGGUUUGGAUGCCAUUGUGGAAAGUUUUUUCGGUGUGGGAUGAGCUCGCGGCCUAUCAGCUUGUUGGUGGGGUAAUGGCCUACCAAGGCGUCGACGGGUAGCCGGCCUGAGAGGGUGUACGGCCACAUUGGGACUGAGAUACGGCCCAGACUCCUACGGGAGGCAGCAGUGGGGAAUAUUGCACAAUGGGCGCAGGCCUGAUGCAGCGACGCCGCGUGGGGGAUGACGGCCUUCGGGUUGUAAACUCUUUUCGCUAGGGACGAAGCGUUUUUGUGACGGUACCUGGAGAAGAAGCACCGGCUAACUACGUG
rnacentral:rRNA from 1 species